rnacentral:lncRNA from 1 species
AAAAGUUUGCCGGCUUCCGCAGUGAUGGAUCACCGUUUUAGUGGCAUUUAAAUCCCCGGCGCUCCGCCGUCUAGGUGACGCGCAGUCGCCCCCCCAGGCAGCCUAGGCGGCGGCAGCUGCUGCGGCGACUGCAAAGGCCGAUUUGGAGUGCUGGAGCGAAGAAGAGCAAAAGCUGCGUUCUGCGCGCGCCCGACUCCGCUGCCCGCCCCGCCAGGCCUCCGGGAGGUGGGGGCUGGGAGGCGUCCCCCGCUCCCGCCCCCUCCCCACCGUUCAAUGAAAGAUGAACUGGCGAGAGGUCUGUUUUGCCUGAACCCAUCAACAGCUGGGAGAUUAAUCAACCACACUGAAAAUGUGGAGGGAUUUAUGGGGGAGGGGGUUGAAAUGUGGGUGUUUGAAACAAAAGUGUAUAAACAAAUGAAUUGUUGAUAACUUAGUUAUUGACCUGGAGACUGGUAGCUUAUUAAAGAAACUCCGUGUUACUCA